rnacentral:rRNA from 1 species
AUUGAACGCUGGCGGCAUGCUUUACACAUGCAAGUCGAACGGUAACAGGCCGCAAGGUGCUGACGAGUGGCGAACGGGUGAGUAAUGCAUCGGAACGUGCCCAGUCGUGGGGGAUAACGCAGCGAAAGCUGCGCUAAUACCGCAUACGAUCUAUGGAUGAAAGCGGGGGACCGUAAGGCCUCGCGCGAUUGGAGCGGCCGAUGUCAGAUUAGGUAGGUGGUGAGGUAAAGGCUCACCAAGCCGACGAUCUGUAGCUGGUCUGAGAGGACGACCGGCCACACUGGGACUGGAACACGGCCCAGACUCCUACGGAAGGCAGCAGGGGGGAAUUUUGGACAAUGGGCGCAAGCCUGAUCCAGCAAUGCCGCGUGCAGGAAGAAGGCCUUCGGGUUGUAAACUGCUUUUGUACGGAACGAAACGGCUCUGGUUAAUACCUGGGGCUAAUGACGGUACCGUAAGAAUAAGCACCGGCUAACUACGUGCCAGCCGCCGCGGUAAAAC